AAGUCGUAACAAGGUUUCCGUGCAAGUUGCACCUGCGGAAGCCUUGUGCGCCAGUCCCUAACCGGGGCGAGGAAUGCAGUGUGCUGGAACGGAUUCGCCCCCGCGGUGCUCCGAACCAGCAGCCGUGCCCCGACUGGGUGCGCGGCCCACAGACUAGAUGCGUUUCGUCUUCCCCUCCGGGGGAUGAUUCUGGUAUAGUCGAUGCCAUGGCACGAAAAGUCGUGGAGUUCGCGAGGUGAACCUGCGGAAGGAUCAUUAAUAGAGACGUCGCCCCGGGCGCGUAAAACCGCCCGGGUGCACAACUCUCCACCCCAUUGCUUGUUAUACCCCAGUUGCUUUGGCGGGUCGUGGCCCCCCGGGGUCCCGUCGGCUCACGCUGGCGUGCACCCGCCGAAGGUCCAACCAAACUCUUGAAGUAAACCAUUGAAGUCUGAAAUAAAAACUAUAAAAUAGCCUAAAA
rnacentral:misc_RNA from 1 species